UGCGGACUUAGCCUUGAAGUGUGGGUAGAAUUUGGAAAGACUUUUCCAAGAGUGGCCUAGAAAAUAAGCAAAGUUGUAUUACCUGGGAAAAUAUUUCAAUAAGAUUCAGGUCACUUGCUUAAGAACACCAUUUCCCAGAAGACAACAGUGGGGAGUUUACCAUUCAAAGACCUGCUUUGGAGAUGUAGAUUACUGUACCCUUUGAUUUUCAGAAGAUGCAGUUAGUAUUUCUCUUUUUCAACAAAUACUGUUUUCUUACUAAACCAUAUUUCCUGUUCCCAGAGUAAUUUUAUGCUGAUUGAAGAAAAGAAGUAAACAGAGUUCCAGAAAGCAACUGCAAAUACUCAUUUUGGAAAAGAAAACAAAACAAAAACAAGGGAGACAUUUUAAAAGGUGCUAAAGCAACAGGACCAGUUGCCAGAGAGCUUAUUUUACCUCCCCAAAACAAGGUUGGUGUUUCAUCCUUGAGUUUAGUACACAGGAUUGUUCUUAUUCUUCUGCAGAUAGAGAGGUGCACUGCUUUAUGCUGCAAGUUGUCUAUAAGACGAGUUUUUGCUAGCAGCCUGUACGCUCUGGGCAACACUGCCAGAUUCCUGAGUAAAGGUACCAACCUCAGAAGCUAUCAACUACAAAUGACAGAACCCAUGAUGUAUGUCAGGACUUCAGUGCCCAGAGGGGCCAGUAGGCUGCAUACCCAGUUACAGAGGGCCAGGACUAUUAACAGCUGGACUUCGACCAAGGAACACACAGGGGAGAGAGCCUUUCUUUGA
ensembl:lincRNA